GACGAACGCUGGCGGCGUGCCUAAUAAAUGCAAGUAGGACGCAGUUGCGAACGGGUGAGUAACGCGUAGGUGACUACCUAUUAGAGGGGGAUAACUAUUGGAAGCGAUAGCUAAUACCGCAUACUAGUCGAUGGACCUGCGUUGUAUUAGCUAGUAGGGUGGGUAAUGGACUACCUAGGCAAAGAUACAUAGCCGAACUUAGAAGGUGGUCGGUCAAACAUGGACUGAGACACCGCCCAGAGUCACACGGGAGCGAGCAAUAAGGAAAUUUCGGGAAAGGGAGGAAUCCUGAUCGGGAAACGACGCGGGAAUGAAGAAGGUUUUCGGAUCGUAAAGCUCUGUUGGUAAGAAAACGGUACUUAACAAGAAAGGGACGGCUAACUACGUGCCAGCAGCCGCGGUAAUUA
rnacentral:rRNA from 1 species